rnacentral:rRNA from 1 species
UUGAACGCUGGCGGCAGGCCUAACACAUGCCAGUCGAGCGGAUGAAGGGAGCUUGCUCCUGGAUUCAGCGGCGGACGGGUGAGUAAUGCCUAGGAAUCUGCCUGGUAGUGGGGAUAACGUCCGGAAACGGGCGCUAAUACCGCAUACGUCCUGAGGGAGAAAGUGGGGGAUCUUCGGACCUCACGCUAUCAGAUGAGCCUAGGUCGGAUUAGCUAGUUGGUGGGGUAAAGGCCUACCAAGGCGACGAUCCGUAACUGGUCUGAGAGGAUGAUCAGUCACACUGGAGCUGAGACACGGUCCAGACUCCUACGGGAGGCAGCAGUGGGGAAUAUUGGACAAUGGGCGAAAGCCUGAUCCAGCCAUGCCGCGUGUGUGAAGAAGGUCUUCGGAUUGUAAAGCACUUUAAGUUGGGAGGAAGGGCAGUAAGUUAAUACCUUGCUGUUUUGACGUUACCAACAGAAUAAGCACCGGCUAACUUCGUG